rnacentral:rRNA from 1 species
CGCGGCCUAUCAGCUUGUUGGUGGGGUGAUGGCCUACCAAGGCGACGACGGGUAGCCGGCCUGAGAGGGUGUCCGGCCACACUGGGACUGGGAUACGGCCCAGACUCCUACGGGAGGCAGCAGUGGGGAAUAUUGCACAAUGGGCGCAAGCCUGAUGCAGCGACGCCGCGUGGGGGAUGACGGCCUUCGGGUUGUAAACCUCUUUCACCAUCGGCGAAGCCAGAUGCUUUUGUGUCUGGUGACGGUAGGUGGAGAAGAAGCAUCGGCCAACUACGUGCCAGCAGCCGCGGUAAUACGUAGGGUGCGAGCGUUGUCCGGAGUUACUGGGCGUAAAGAGCUCGUAGGUGGUUUGUCGCGUUGUCCGUGAAAUUCCCUGGCUUAACUGGGGGCGUGCGGGCGAUACGGGCAGACUGGAGUACUGCAGGGGAGACUGGAAUUCCUGGUGUAGCGGUGGAAUGCGCAGAUAUCAGGAGGAACACCGGUGGCGAAGGCGGGUCUCUGGGCAGUAACUGACGCUGAGGAGCGAAAGCGUGGGGAGCGAACAGGAUUAGAUACCCUGGUAGUCCACGCCGUAAACGGUGGGUACUAGGUGUGGGUUUCCUUCCUUGGGAUCCGUGCCGUAGCUAACGCAUUAAGUACCCCGC